GACGAACGCUGGCGGCGUGCUUAACACAUGCAAGUCGAACGAAGUGGCGAACGGGUGAGUAACGCGUAAUCAACCUGCCCUUCCGAGGGGGACAACAGUUGGAAACGACUGCUAAUACCGCCUCCUGAAGGAGGGGAUUGCGUCUGAUUAGCUAGUGGGAGGGGUAACGGCCCACCAAGGCGAUGAUCAGUAGCCGGUCGGAGAGGAUGACCGGCCACAUUGGGACUGAGACACGGCCCAGACUCCUACGGGAGGCAGCAGUGGGGAAUCUUCCGCAAUGGACGAAAGUCUGACCGAGCAACGCCGCGUGAGUGAAGAAGGUUUUCGGGUCGUAAAACUCUGUUGUUAGAGAGGCGGUAUCUAACCAGAAAGCCACGGCUAACUACGUGCCAGCAGCCGCGGUAAUUC
rnacentral:rRNA from 1 species